UCGUCAACACGUAUCGACGAAGGAGCUUUACUACCCAGAAUGCUAUUCGCCUUUCGUGUGAUUAAAAACAUGGCUUCGAAGAAAGUUGUUUUCGUCAUAAGCGGCUCACGUGUUAUAGUUAUUCCAAGAAAAUUUAUAUUUACUAUGCGACAAGAUGUUAGAUAAAUAUAUUGUAAUGUUGAACAGUUAAAGGCCGAAGAGUCAUGGAUAUUUGCAUCCUGCUUUGAUUUCUGUGGUAUUUUGUCUUGAUGGGAAAACUUUGGAACCAAAAGCCAGGGCUGACAAAAUUCCUCUUCAAAGCUCCAUCAAUAUAGCCAGUUGAUGCUUUGAACACCUAGAAAUUGGAUAUGAAUGGGAUCUGGACUAAAACCUUCAUAAGAACUUGUAUGACUUUUGCAGGAGAAAUUUUCGCUGUCGCAGACACCCAGUGGACACCGCAAUAAAAGAUGAUGUCGAUGCAUCAGUAGCAAAGAGGCAAACGCACAUGAAGGAAAGGUUUACCACAUGAACCAAGUCUCUAUACAGAAAUCCAAUACAGACACUUUCCUUGUUUGUAAUCGUUUAAAGAUUUUGCAGCCACAAGAACGUUGCAGAAAAUUCCAUUCCGUAUGGCAUGUAAACUUGAUUUCUCACGCUCGGCCUUGUAACAUCUCUUUGUAACUUGUCCAGUCGCCUUUAGCUCCCGAAUGGAAUGCCCCCCUUGCCCUUAAUGUGCCGCUUAUGUGCCGCCUAACUACCGAAAUUGUUCGGCCUAACUGCCCAAAAUUAAGUAGGGUAACUCUGAACGGAAAGCUGCAAUUUGGAGCCAUCUAUUGUCGGGAAAUGUACAAAGAAGUCUCUAAGUUAACCAUAAACACACCCUCUUCGAUCGCGUGGAACACAGGGCAAUCGCGAGGCAAGCCUUGCUGGGGGGGGGGUGUGGACAACAAAUUUACCUGAUUAUUAAACAAUUACCUGAAAUUCUUAACAUGCUGAAGCAAACCUCUGCAAUACUUUUUGUCAAUCUAACGGUGUGGCAUAUAAUUCGCAAUUUUCAAUUUUAUAUGAUUAUAACAGACUUUUAUAAUAGUUUUGUCAAAUCUGUAUAUCGGGACGGGCAAGGAUAUACCUACCCGAGCCCGCACCAUGGUUGCCGCCGAGGGACUAGAAAAUUUUCGAAUUUUGAUGCUUCCAGUUCCCUGGAAAAUACAUUUUUUUUACCAAAUUUUACUAAAGCAAUCCUCUUAAUCCUAUUAAAAAUUCUUUUAUUUUUACAAACAAAUUGAGCAGCAGAUAAAAACAACUGGCAAAAUUUCCCCGUGGUUUGAAAAAUUCCAUGUUGUCAGUUACCUCUGAAGCCAGGUAACAAGCAGCACUGGUUGUCAAUUUAGAUCCCUCUUUCCAACCUAGCAUGCCUUUUGAAUGUUACAAAAACCUGGAGCUCAUUAUGAAUUGCAGUUGACGCUUCUACCGAGGAACUUUAGGGGAAAUGGACACAUGGCACAAUUUUACCUAAAGAGGGCAUGGAUUAUUAAAUUUUGUGCCAACAAGAAAUCUUCAAAUCUUCAAAUCAUUAGUUUGUUUACCUUCCUUCAUAUCAAGAAAAAUCAUAUUUAACCAAAGGAGCAACUACCUUUGCUUAUUCCUUUAUUGAUCUUAAGCAUGACGGUCUCUGAAAUUCCUAAAGCGUUGCUUCCACUGGGCGGACUUUACCUGAAAUUUCCUAUCCAGAUGCUAUUGAGGAGGUGUGACACCCUUCAGUCGCGACGCCCCUAGUAAUAUUGAACCCCUUUCCUACUUACAACCCUGCAUCCUUAGUAAAUGUAUAUUCUGAAGCUACUUAGCACCCUUAUUGCCCUCUCAAACUCUCCUUUUUAAACAGUGAACGACAAGUGUCGUCUAACUACAGCGAAAAGAUGCCCAUCUCCAUCGGGAGCAUUCCCCAUCAUUGAUACAUUGUUUAUGUUCUCCUUUUAGGUUCGGCCUUGUCAAUUGCCACCCUCAACAAAUUAAGAGAGUAUUUUGAGAUGAAGCUUUAGAAAUUGUCUAUUGAAUUUCUUUUGUUUGAAGUGAGAAUCUUUUGAAUUGUUGGUUUUUAGGAAAGAUAAUUGAUACUCGCUCAUCCAAAAGGUUAAAGUAAACGUCCUUUUGUGGAAUGGUAGCAUGGAUUGAGAUAAAUAUUGCUUAUUUUCUGUGUAUUUUUCCUGUUUUGCGUUUAAAAGAUAUUUGAUAUUCCAGCCGGCCCGGCCCUCACCUCUCAGUGUUUUCACAAAGAGAGGCUUUUGUCUGAAAUUGAAUGGCCAGUGUUUCAGCUAGAAGUUGCAUUAUUGGCGAAACCAUAAACAGUAUCAAAUUUUAGUUUCCACCAUUAGGUGCGGGAGGUUGCGGCCGUCCUUGUGGUAUUUCGUUUUGUCGAAUAGGACCGAUUUAAGCAAAGUUAUUUGACUUUUUCUUGGCUGAGAGCAAGGGGGAUUCAGGUUUACAUAAAGGCGUUCAGAAAAAACAAUAGGCUUGUGAUUCCCCGAGUUUCUGAAGACUUGGGUUUUUAGCGAUUUACACAAAAAGUAUCACAGUUACAAGUUUUUUAGUGCAUUCAUGAGAUGGGCCGUUCGAUGCUCGAUUUUUUGAGCUAUUUCCCGUAAUUUUGGGACCUGUUUAUGCUGAGUUAUUGAGGAUUUAGUGAUUAAAACACGCAAAAAACGGUUUUUUGCAGUUUAAAAAUCGAAAACAGCCGAUAAAAAUUCUGCGAGGCGUUCAAAAUAUCGCUGAUUUUUUGCUCGAUUUUUUGAGCUAUUGCUUGUCUUGUUUGAAGCUUGCGUUACUGAAUUAACUCGAUUUUUCCGAAAAGUGCACUUUUCAAAUUUUCUCAAAUUUGCAUCGCAGCGACCGAUCAAGCUCAAACCGGUAACUGCGGCGGCGGUCAAAACUUUUUCUUGAAAAAUGGUGUUUAAUUGGAAUUUAAAAACAGGAAAAGUCUGUGAACGGGUAAAAGAGCUUCCUGGAUUCGAUUUAAAUGCAUUUAAAGUUGCAUUUCAUGAUUUUUUAAAGUUUCGAUACAUUUGCCCCAAUUAAACACCGUUUUUCGUUUCCUUUUGUCGAAUGGGACCGAUUUUUGCAAAGUUAUUCAACUUUUUCUUGGCUGAGAGCAAGGGGGAUUCAGGUUUACAUAAAGGCGUUCAGAAAAAUCAAAAGGCUUGUGAUUCCCCUAGUUUCUAAAGACUUGGGUUUUUAGCGAUUUACACAAAAAGUAUCACAGUUACAAGUUUUUGAGUGCAUCCAUGAGAUGGACCGUUUGAUGCUCGAUUUUGUGAGCCGUUUCCCGUAAUUUUAGGACCUGUCUUUGCCGAGUUAUUGAGGAUCUAAUGAUUAGAACAAAAGAAAUGGAAAUUCCCAAAGAACUGUGAAAAUCAGACAGUUUUGAGAGUUUCUUGACCGAACAAUCCGAUCGGGCGACGGGCGGCUAGCAACAUUGGGGCAAAUGUAUCGAAACUUUAAAAAAUCAUGAAAUGCAACUUUAAAUGCACUUAAAUCGAAUCAAGGAAGCUCUUUUACCCGUUCACAGACUUUUCCUGUUUUUAAAUUCCAAUUAAACACCGUUUUACGUUUCCUUUUGUCGAAUGGGAUCGAUUUUUGCAAAGUUAUUCGACUUUUUCUUGGUUGAGAGCAAGGGGGAUUCAGGUUUACAUAAAGGCGUUCAGAAAAAACAAUAGGCUUCUGAUUCCCCAAGUUUCUAAAGACUUGGGUUUUUAGCGAUUUAAACAAAAAGUAUCACAGUUACAAGUUUUUGAGCGCAUCCAUGAGAUGGACCGUUUGAUGCUCGAUUUUGUGAGCCGUUUCCCGUAAUUUUAGGACCUUUCUUUGCCGAGUUAUUGAGGAUCUAAUGAUUAGAACAAAAGAAAUGGAAAUUCCCAAAGAACUGUGAAAAUCAGACAGUUUUGAGAGUUUCUUGACCGAACAAGCCGAUCGGGCGACGGGCGGCUAGCAACAUUGGGGCAAAUGUAUCGAAACUUUAAAAAAUCAUGAAAUGCAACUUUAAAUGCACUUAAAUCGAAUCAAGGAAGCUCUUUUACCCGUUCACAGACUUUUCCUGUUUUUAAAUUCCAAUUAAACACCAUUUUUAAAGAAAAAGUUUUGACCGCCGCCGCAGUUACCGGUUUGAGCUUGAUCGGUCGCUGCGAUGCAAAUUUGAGAAAAUUUGAAAAGUGCACUUUUCGGAAAAAUCGAGUUAAUUCAGUAACGCAAGCUUCAAACAAGA